UAUGGCUCAGAUUGAACGCUGGCGGCGUGCUUAACACAUGCAAGUCGUGCGAGAAAGGGGGCUUCGGUCCCUGAGUAGAGCGGCGCGACGGGUGAGUAACGCGUGGAUUAUCUACCCAGAUAUUCGGGAUAACGGCGGGAAACUGCCGCUAAUACCGGAUACGCUCCAAUUUCGGUUGGGGGAAAGGCGGCCUCUGCUUGCAAGCUGUCGUAUCUGGAUGAGUCCGCGUCCCAUUAGCUUGUUGGCGGGGUAACGGCCCACCAAGGCUACGAUGGGUAGCUGGUCUGAGAGGAUGAUCAGCCACACUGGAACUGAAACACGGUCCAGACUCCUACGGGAGGCAGCAGUGGGGAAUAUUGCGCAAUGGGGGAAACCCUGACGCAGCGACGCCGUGUGAGGGAAGAAGGCUUUCGGGUCGUAAACCUCUGUCGGGAGGGAAGAACCUUCCAGGUCUGAACAAGGCCUGGAACUGACGGUACCUCCAAAGGAAGCACCGGCUAACUCCGUGCCAGCAGCUGC
rnacentral:rRNA from 1 species